rnacentral:rRNA from 1 species
GAUGAACGCUGGCGGCGUGCCUAAUACAUGCAAGCCGAACGCAUUGAGAAAAGUGCUUGCACUUUUCAAUUUGAGUGGCGAACGGGUGAGUAACACGUGGGCAACCUACCUGAUAGCGGGGGAUAACGAGUGGAAACAUUCGCUAAUCCCGCAUAACAAUAGAGAAGGCAUCUUCUUUAUUUAAAAGGCGCCUUCAAGCGUCACUAUCAGAUGGGCCCGCGGUGCAUUAGUUAGUUGGUGGGGUGAAGGCCUACCAAGACGAUGAUGCAUAGCCGAGUUGAGAGACUGAUCGGCCACAUUGGGGAUGGGAAACGGCCCAAACUCCUACGGGAGGCUGCAGUAGGGAAUCUUCCACAAUGGACGAAAGUCUGAUGGAGCAACGCCGCGUGUGUGAUGAAGGCUUUCGGGUCGUAAAGCACUGUUGUAUGGGAAGAAAUGCUAGGCUAGGAAAUGAGCUUAGUUUGACGGUACCAUACCAGAAAGGGACGGCUAAAUACGUGCCAGCCGCCGCAGUAA